GCCCUCUGGUACGCUCACACUGAGGGCAUCUGAAGAUUGCCAGGACCAUCCAGAAGUAGGAGGGUACCAGUGUCAUCAGGGUGCUGAAGCAAAGACUUGUGAGGACAAAGGCUGAGAAGGAUGCAACUGUGGCCUGCAAUUCAGGGCGUUCCUGCGUAUGGGCAUUCCUGCAUCUGCAGGAGCCCCUAUUUAUACUUCUAUUGGUCAAGUUUUAAGCUAGGACAGGCGGGAGGCGGGGUCGCUCCAGUACAGUAUGUGGCGUUAAUGCACAAUAAAGUUGCCGAAAAAACCCACUGAAGAAGAGGAGGGACCAACAAUGACAGAGACCUCUACGUGGGGCACCUUCCUCUCCAGCGCCUGCUCCAGAUGGAAGUUUGGGAUGUGGUCAAAGCUCUGGUUCUGCACCCCUGGCUGCUGCUGAUACUGCCACUCCACUAUGUUGCUGGCCACUUCCACAUUCCUGCUGAAUGUCUCUUUGUCCCUGGCCUUCCUCAGCAUCUCCUGGAUCGCGUUGACUGCGUUGAGGACAUCCUUGCUAAGGCCCUCGAUCGUGAGCGUAGCUUCCUCGCUGGAAGAAUUGUAUUCUAUCCUCACAGUCACUCCCAUGGUACUAUGCAUGUCGUGGAUGCGCUUGAGUCAGACAAGUUUAGGAUGGAGUCAUCAUUGAUGCUGUUGCUGACUUGCUCCUUCAGGAUCAGGUCCUUGAUCCAACACCUGGCUUGGUCCACUCUGGCCUGAGAGCCACCGCAGAUGUGGAAGAAAGCUGGAUCUACUUCCUGGCCCUCAAUGACAAAAUCCUCAUCCUUUUGUGGCACGUCACCUUUACCCCAGAUUUGUGGAACUCUGUGAGCAUGGCAGGCUGGAAGAUGACCAUCCUGACCAGCUGAAGUGUGUUUUGGGACCCACCACCUCCACAACAGCAUCCAACAUGGCGUCAGCCACCUGGCCCGCCUGUACAUUGCCCUGACCUUCAAUGAGAGAACAGGAUAUUUGCCACACCUAGCAAGUGUGGAUAUGAAGUUCAACAACAUGCAACAUUUAUAUUAUGCAAGUAAUUGCCCAGCAAUGAGACAAUAAAGAUUUUCUGAAUCUGAAUGUGCUUGUUAGCUUUUACUGUCUAGUGGAGGUCAAAGAUUUUAAAAACAAAGCACUUAGCAAACAGCUAGUAUUUAAGUGGGCCAAGUCCCGUUCCUUCAAUCUUCUGGAUUCUCACUGUUGCAAAAUUCCAUUAACUUUCCACAAGUUUUUCCCAAAAUCCCGGUUGGAAGAUUCCCCGAAUCAGAGAGGAAUAAGAAGGAAAUCCAGACAACUCUAACCAGGAUACUCUAACCAGAGAAAACGUUUGACCUCUGUCAUUGCCAACAAAGGGUAUAUAACAAAGUAUUGAGAUAAACUUUUGUUAUUGACCAAAUACUUAUUUUCCACCAUAAUUUUCAAAUAAAUUCAUUAAAAAUCCUAUAAUGUGAUUUUCUGGAUUUUUUUUCUCAUUUUGUCUGUCAUAGUUGAAGUGUACCUAUGAUGAAAAUUACAGGCCUCUCUCAUCUUUUUAAGUGGGAGAACUUGCACAAUUGGUGGCUGACUAAAUGCUUUUUUGCCCCACUGUAUCCUCCAUGCAAAUGAAUGUUGAAAGAAGAGAUAUUUAAAAGUUAAUUGCUUAAAUGUUUGCAUGUCCAAAAGGCAUCCAUUUUGUGGAUCGACCCAGGUCCCUUAUGUAAUCGGCUUGACUUUUUCAAGGUGUUAUUACGUGCUCCACUAAGGCAGUUAUUUAUCUUAUAACUUGUCCUUGUGGUAAAAAUUAUGUAGGUAAAACAAAGUGCGAAUUAAAAGUACGUAUCUCAGAGCAUCGUAGCACCAUUAGGUGUAAAAACUUUACUUAUCCAGUUGCGGCCCACUUCUUGGAGGCAGGCCACUUGAUUUCGUCUCUGCGUUAUAUUGGCAUCGAACAUGUCACACUCCCUAGGAGAAGGGGUGACCUUGAUAAUUUAUUGUUAAAACGAGAGGAUGCCUGGAUCUUUAACUUAAAGAUCCUUGCGCCCUUCGGUCUCAACGUAGACUUUGAUCUGAAGCCAUUCUUGUGAUUAUUGUGACUUUGCCAUUGCAAUUGUUUGUAAGCUUGUGUAGUCAAAUUAAUCUAUGAUCAUAUGCUAUUCAUUUGUAUGCUGUUGUUUGUAUGACAUUUUAAUAUUUGUAUGCUGUUGUUUGUAUGACAUUUUAAUAUUUGAUAAUUAACCAAUGAUAUUAGGCCACUCUUGGCCAUGAUUACAGACACCUGUGUCUUUUGACACUACAUAAACGAGUCCUCCCGCAGUGUUUGUGAUUAUACCCUGAUGAAGACAGAUUGGCUGUCGAAACGUUGGUAAUUAAAUGUUUGCAUCUGA
ensembl:lncRNA